rnacentral:rRNA from 1 species
CUACGGGCGGCAGCAGUCGAGAAUCUUCCGCAAUGGACGAAAGUCUGACGGAGCGACGCCGCGUGCGGGAUGAAGGCCUUCGGGUUGUAAACCGCUGUCAGUGGGGAGGAAAUGCAUCAGGGUUCUCCCUGGUGUUUGACCGAUCCGCAGAGGAAGCGCAGGCUAAGUUCGUGCCAGCAGCCGCGGUAACACGAACUGCGCGAACGAUAUUCGGAAGCACUGGGCUUAAAGAGUUCGUAGGCGGCCUUUCAAGUCGGGUGUGAAAUCCCUCGGCUCAACCGAGGAAUUGCGCCUGAUACUGUUGGGCUUGAGGGGGAUAGGGGUGAGCGGAACUGAUGGUGGAGCGGUGAAAUGCGUUGAUAUCAUCAGGAACACCGGUGGCGAAGGCGGCUCACUGGAUCUCUUCUGACGCUGAGGAACGAAAGCUAGGGGAGCGAACGGGAUUAGAUACCCGAGUAGUC